AGAGUUUGAUCAUGGCUCAGAUUGAACGCUGGCGGCAUGCCUUACACAUGCAAGUCGAACGGCAGCAUAGGAGCUUGCUCCUGAUGGCGAGUGGCGAACGGGUGAGUAAUAUAUCGGAACGUGCCCUAGAGUGGGGGAUAACUAGUCGAAAGACUAGCUAAUACCGCAUACGAUCUACGGAUGAAAGUGGGGGAUCGCAAGACCUCAUGCUCCUGGAGCGGCCGAUAUCUGAUUAGCUAGUUGGUGGGGUAAAAGCCUACCAAGGCAACGAUCAGUAGCUGGUCUGAGAGGACGACCAGCCACACUGGGACUGAGACACGGCCCAGACUCCUACGGGAGGCAGCAGUGGGGAAUUUUGGACAAUGGGGGCAACCCUGAUCCAGCAAUGCCGCGUGAGUGAAGAAGGCCUUCGGGUUGUAAAGCUCUUUUGUCAGGGAAGAAACGGUAGUAGCGAAUAACUACUACUAAUGACGGUACCUGAAGAAUAAGCACCGGCUAACUACGUGCCAGCAGCCGCGGUAAU
rnacentral:rRNA from 1 species